UACGAAGGGGACUAGCGUUGCUCGGAAUCACUGGGCGUAAAGGGUGCGUAGGCGGGUCUUUAAGUCAGAGGUGAAAUCCUGGAGCUCAACUCCAGAACUGCCUUUGAUACUGAGGAUCUUGAGUACGGGAGAGGUGAGUGGAACUGCGAGUGUAGAGGUGAAAUUCGUAGAUAUUCGCAAGAACACCAGUGGCGAAGGCGGCUCACUGGCCCGUUACUGACGCUGAGGCACGAAAGCGUGGGGAGCAAACAGG
rnacentral:rRNA from 1 species